rnacentral:rRNA from 1 species
CCAGACUCCUACGGGAGGCAGCAGUGGGGGAUAUUGGACAAUGGGGGAAACCCUGAUCCAGCGACGCCGCGUGAGUGAAGAAGUAUUUCGGUAUGUAAAGCUCUGUCAGCAGGGAAGAAAGAAAUGACGGUACCUGACCAAGAAGCCCCGGCUAACUACGUGCCAGCAGCCGCGGUAAUACGUAGGGGGCAAGCGUUAUCCGGAAUUACUGGGUGUAAAGGGAGCGUAGACGGUGAUGCAAGUCUGGAGUGAAAGGCGGGGGCCCAACCCCCGGACUGCUCUGGAAACUGUACGGCUGGAGUGCAGGAGAGGUAAGUGGAAUUCCUAGUGUAGCGGUGAAAUGCGUAGAUAUUAGGAGGAACACCAGUGGCGAAGGCGGCUUACUGGACUGUAACUGACGUUGAGGCUCGAAAGCGUGGGGAGCAAACUGGAUUAGAUACCCCGGUA